rnacentral:rRNA from 1 species
CCUACGGGAGACAGCAGUGAGGAAUAUUGGUCAAUGGACGAGCGUCUGAACCAGCCAAGUAGCGUGAAGGAUGACUGCCCUAUGGGUUGUAAACUUCUUUUAUCUGGGAAUAAAAUGUUCCACGUGUGGGAUUUUGUAUGUACCAUAUGAAUAAGGAACGGCUAACUCCGUGCCAGCAGCCGCGGUAAUACGGAGGAUUCGAGCGUUUUCCGGAUUUAUUGGGUUUAAAGGGAGCGUAGGUGGAUAGUUAAGGCAGUUGUGAAAGUUUGCGGCUCAACCGUAACAUUGCAGUUGAAACUGGCAGUCUUGAGUACAGUAGAGGUGUGCGGAAUGCGUGGUGUAGCGGUGAAAUGCUUAGAUAUCACGAAGAACUCCGAUUGCGAAGGCAGUUCACUGGACUGCAACUGACACUGAGGCUCGAAAGUGUGGGUAUCAAACAGGAUUAGAUACCCUGGUAGUC